GACGAACGCUGGCGGCGUGCUUAACACAUGCAAGUCGAACGGAAAGGCCCCUGCUUGCAGGGGUACUCGAGUGGCGAACGGGUGAGUAACACGUGGGUGAUCUGCCCUUCACUUCGGGAUAAGCCUGGGAAACUGGGUCUAAUACCGGAUAGGACCAAUCUUUAGUGUGGUUGGUGGAAAGUUUUUCGGUGGAGGAUGAGCCCGCGGCCUAUCAGCUUGUUGGUGGGGUAAUGGCCUACCAAGGCGACGACGGGUAGCCGGCCUGAGAGGGUGGACGGCCACAUUGGGACUGAGACACGGCCCAGACUCCUACGGGAGGCAGCAGUGGGGAAUAUUGCACAAUGGGCGGAAGCCUGAUGCAGCGACGCCGCGUGAGGGAUGACGGCCUUCGGGUUGUAAACCUCUUUCGCUAGGGAAGAAGCCUUCGGGUGACGGUACCUGGAUAAGAAGCACCGGCUAACUACGUGCCAGCCGCCGCCGUAACAC
rnacentral:rRNA from 1 species